CCUACGGGGGGCAGCAGUCGAGAAUCAUUCACAAUGGGGGAAACCCUGAUGGUGCGACGCCGCGUGGGGGAAUGAAGGUCUUCGGAUUGUAAACCCCUGUCAUGUGGGGGCAAAUUAAAAAGAUAGUACCCCAAGAGGAAGAGACGGCUAACUCUGUGCCAGCAGCCGCGGUAAUACAGAGGUCUCAAGCGUUGUUCGGAAUCACUGGGCGUAAAGCGUGCGUAGGCUGUUUCGUAAGUCGUGUGUGAAAGGCGCGGGCUCAACCCGCGGACGGCACAUGAUACUGCGAGACUAGAGUAAUGGAGGGGGAACCGGAAUGCUCGGUGUAGCAGUGAAAUGCGUAGAUAUCGAGAGGAACACUCGUGGCGAAGGCGGGUUCCUGGACAUUAACUGACGCUGAGGCACGAAGGCCAGGGGAGCGAAAGGGAUUAGAUACCCGAGUAGUC
rnacentral:rRNA from 1 species